rnacentral:lncRNA from 1 species
CUAUCGAAUAAUGGUGGUGGUAGAUGUCCAUGAUCAGCUAGUGGAAACUUUCUUUAGUGAGUCCUCUCAUUUUGAACAGUGGUGUCCUGAGUUACUCCCAGAAAGAGUGAUCCUAUCCAAGACCGGACAUGUAAUAUUGAAAUGGAUGGAAUAUAGAAACUAACUUAGAAUUCUUAAAUAAAAUGGUAGUAAUGAAAUGCAUCCAUUUGCACACUCAAGAGCCCAUUCCUUUUAGCUUUCUGAAGCAACAGCAGCAGUCCCUACCCAAGUCAUCCCACUAGCUGAUUCCUAACAUGUCAUUGCUGAUGUAAUCCCUCAAGCAAGAAACAUAGGAUAGGUUAUGAAUUACAGAGGGCUUACUACAGUGCAUGGAAUUCAGGCUGCUUUUGAUGAAGUGAUGUCAUACUAUGAAUAUCUUCUACCUAUAGGUUAUUAGAACUUCAAGGACCAAUAAAAGCAAGAUAAAGCCAAAUUUAAAGCCAAAAGGAAAGAAGAACCAAGCUCUGUUUUCCAGAGUAACGUGUAGACUUUAGACAAAAUUUUCCACCCAAAUUUGUGCGUCACAGGUCAGGAGAAAAGCCUAUCCCAGUAAAUCAGACAAAGAAAGAAUCAGAACCUACCACACUAUGUAAAAUCAGAGGAGACAGGGACCUCAAAGAACAUCCCCCACACAAUGAACACUGAAGGCUUCCUGAGAAAUAGGCAAAAACUCC